rnacentral:rRNA from 1 species
GCCCGAAGUCGCUCACCCAACCAGCAAUGGAGGGAGGCGCCGAAGAUGAAACUCCUGAUCGGGACUAAGUCGUAACAAGGUAACCGUAGGUGAACCUGCAGAAGGAUCA